rnacentral:rRNA from 1 species
CAGCAGCAGCCACGGUAAUACGUAGGGUGCAAGCGUUAAUCGGAAUUACUGGGCGUAAAGCGUGCGCAGGCGGUUAUAUAAGACAGAUGUGAAAUCCCCGGGCUCAACCUGGGAACUGCAUUUGUGACUGUAUAGCUAGAGUACGGCAGAGGGGGAUGGAAUUCCGCGUGUAGCAGUGAAAUGCGUAGAUAUGCGGAGGAACACCGAUGGCGAAGGCAAUCCCCUGGGCCUGUACUGACGCUCAUGCACGAAAGCGUGGGGAGCAAACAGGAUUAGAUACCCCCGUAGUCCCUGUCUCUUAUAC